rnacentral:rRNA from 1 species
UACGUAGGGUCCGAGCGUUGUCCGGAAUUAUUGGGCGUAAAGGGCUCAUAGGCGGUUCGUCACGUCGGGAGUGAAAACUCGGGGCUUAACCCCGAGCCUGCUUCCGAUACGGGCAGACUAGAGGUAGGCAGGGGAGAGCGGAACUCCUGGUGUAGCGGUGAAAUGCGCAGAUAUCAGGAGGAACACCGGUGGCGAAGGCGGUUCUCUGGGCAUGUCCUGACGCUGAGGAGCGAAAGUGUCGGGAGCGAACAGG